rnacentral:lncRNA from 1 species
UUUUCGGGGUAUCAUCAAAUUUCAAUGGCCGAGGCCGAUCAAGAGAAGACGUCAUUUAUCACGGACUUCGGCACGUACUGUUACACAGCCAUGCCAUUUGGCUUGAAAAACGCAGGAGCGACGUAUCAGAGGAUGGUGAACAAAGUCUUUCGUGGGCUAAUCGGGGAUGUCGUAGAAGUCUAUGUUGACGAUAUGGUGGUCAAGAGUGCCAGAGCCAAUGACCAUGUGGCCUGUUUGCAAAAAGUGUUUGACGUUGCCCGACAAAGCAGAUUAAGGUUCAAUCCAGAGAAGUGUGUUUUUGGUACCGCAGGUGGAAAAUUUCUAGGUUUCAUGAUCACGCAAAGGGGCAUCGAAGUGAACCCGGACAAAAUUCGGGCAAUCCUAGAAAUGAAAAGCCCCACCAGCAGGAAGGAGGUUCAGAGGCUGACGGGGCGGGUAGCGGCCUUAAAUCGUUUCAUGAGCCGGGCGGCGGACAAAUGCUACCACUUCUUCAAAGCUAUAGGGGGCUCCUCCAAUUUUGAGUGGACCCAGGAAUGCGAAGAGUCUCUUAGGAACUUGAAGCAGUCAUUACAAGAGCCCCCGGUCUUGACCAGCCCAUCUCCUGGGGACGUGUUGUGUCUCUACUUGGCAGUAUCACCAAAGGCAGUCAGCGCGGUCCUGGUGAAAGAGUUCUCGAAGGCGCAGAAACCAGUCUACUAUGUGAGCCAAGUAUUGAGGGGUGCAGAAAUAAGAUACAGCCUGACUGAACAGCUGGUGUUUGCAUUAAUUGUCGCGGUCAGGAAAUUGAGGCCUUACUUUCAGUCUCACACGGUGCAAGUAAUGACUGACCAACCUAUCAAGCAGAUUCUACAUCGGCCCGAGACCUCUGGGAGGUUGUUAAAAUGGGCCAUCGAGUUAAGCGAGUUUGAUAUCGAAUUCAGGCCAAGGACAGCUAUUAAGGCACAGGCUUUAGCAGACUUCAUCGUUGAGCUCACCACCCCGCCCGAGCUCCCACCAGGGGAGCAGGCAGAUUGGAAAAUUUUUGUCGAUGGAUCUUCAAAUGACGAAGGAUCCGGGGCGGGGAUCAUAAUGAUAGGUCCGAAUGAAGAAGAGUUGGAAUACUCACUGCAUUUUGAAUUCCCAGCAACAAAUAACGAGGCCGAGUACGAAGCAGUAAUCACGGGUUUGGGAUUGGCAGCCAGACUCGGGGUAACCUCAGUGGAAAUUUGCAGCGACUCUCAGUUGAUAAUCGGGCAAGUGACGGGGGAAUUCAAAGCAAAGGACGGAAAGAUGGCUGCAUAUUUAAUGGAGGUCAAAAACUUGCAGAAGGGGUUCACUAAGUUUAAGAUAACUAAGGUCCCUCGAAAGGACAAUGAGCGAGCGGACGCGCUGGCUAAGCUCGCAUCAGUCAACCCCAGACGAC